rnacentral:lncRNA from 1 species
AGAGUGAAGAAGAAGAGGAGGAAGAGGAAUGGCAAAGGGAAGAGAGAGAAGAGGGAGAAGGAAGAAGAGGAGGAGAUUAUGCACGACACUUGUUAAAAUUGCAACACUGAGACGGUAUUAGCAGCCCAGUUCUUCAUUUGAGAAGACCAAAGCACAGAGGGGCUAAGUGAUUUGCCCGGGCCCACACAGCUGGGUUGUUGCUGAGCCAGCAUUUGAAACCAGGCUACAUCCUUGAAUCUCAGCUUGGACUUGGUAUCAUUCAGAGUCCUACCAAGAGAAUCAAAACCACUUCAGUGCCUCCACCACCAGUCUCUCAUGAAUGACUCUCCUUGUCAGGGCCCAGAUGGAAGCCAGCUGACAUGCAAGCCUGGGAACUGCAGCCUGCAGAGAUCAACAACCCCACGGAGUCACAGAGCAGAGCAGAUGUGACUAAGACGUGUUAAGGAUCUUGAAAAGAGAGACUGAAGCUGGGUUUUCUGGAUGGGCUUCAUAGACAGACACACAGAAGAAAAGGCAAUGUGAAGACAAGACAGAGGCCGGAUGGAGGUGAUGCCACCACAAGCCAAGGAAUGCUGGCAGCUGCUAGAAGCUGGAGGAGACGGGGAACAAAUUCUCUGCUAGAGCCUCCAGAGGAAAGACAGCCCUGUUCACAUCUUGAUUUCAGAAGUCUGGCCUCCAGAACUGCGAAAGAAUACGUGACUGUUAUCUUAAGCUACAAGUCUGUGUAUUGUGCUCCUCCAUCGUAUUCCCAAAACAGCAUCCCUGGCUUCUGUCCCGUGCCCAUUGUCCUUUCAUGCUGAAGCAGCUUAUUGCAUUGUCUUAUCUGUCCUACCAGGCUGACCUCCUUGAGGGCAGAAUUAGAUCUUGGAGAGAGAGCGCCCUAGUUCUCAACAUUGUGACGGGUAUAUAAUGGAUGACAAAUAAAUAUUAACUUGACUUUA